AAGGUAAGUUGUUUUAACUUGUUUAGCAUGAAAAGUUCGAUUUUGGUUCAAAACGACUUUGUUAAAACCAAUGAUUUUACCAAUUCAACCCAAGAUUGCUAGUAGAGUGUGUCAGUAUUGAUAUAUUUUUGUUGUUUUUUGGGUUCGUAUAUAUGUAGGCUGAAAAGAUGACUACUGAUCCAGUGAAAAAGGAGAUGGCUGAGCGGAAGAAAGAGGAAAAGUUGUUUGAAGCAGAGUGUGAGAAGGAACGGAUGCGCCAAGCUGCCAGGAGAGGCGACCACAACCUCCACACGGCGGGUGAUCCGCUCGGCCACGCUGGGCCGGUUAGGGAGGAUUAUCCAACUAGCGUGACUAGUGGAGUUGUUGGGUCGCAGUAUCCUGCAGGAGUGAACAAAAGAAGUGGAAGGACCGGUGUUCUUGAUCCUGACCGGGUGGAGGAUGUGGGCAGACCGGGAGUUCAAGACCCCGGGGUUGGCGGAGGAGCUAGGACUGGUUAUGGACCUGGUGCUACAUAUUAGCUAGCCUGAGUGUUUAGGACGCAUGUUUUAGUUUGAGCCAAUACUUGGUUUAGUAGUAAGGGAUGAUCCUCUUAUAACUAGGGUUGUAUUAUACAGAAUUAGCCAUGUUUUGGAAUAAGGGAAUAAUACAGAUGGUUUGGAAUAAGGGAAUAACAUUGGAGGUUCUUUAAAGCCUUUAACUUGCACAUGUUGAUAGAUUUAUGGUGCUGUUUAGAGGAAUUCAAAUGUUAAUUUUUUCGAAAGCAAUGAAAUCUAUUUUUUUUUUUUUUUUUUUAUGUUAGAUCACACAUUGAAUAUUUGGUAUUUUCCCAAGCAGUACGUAGUUUCCGGGCCAGCAAGAAUUUCAGGCCAGAGUAGAACCAUCUCAAUUUCCAACCUCUUCAGACCACAUAGCAAGAUAAAUCUUGAGUUCGCCUCUUGAACAAGCAUUUGUUUGCCAUUCAUUCCAUUGUAGUGUUGUGAAGUGCUUAAUUAUUGAACAUGAGAUUUUGGUUAUAAGCACAGUAAUUGGCUCGGAGGUUGAACCGCUCGUCGGGUGGACCUCCCCUCGGCCAGCCCGCUUAAUUUUUUAAUCCGCUUAAUUUUGGUCUGUAUUCGCAAAGUAUAAUAAAAAUGAAAUUGAGUUUUCUAUCAAUAUUUAUAUUCUAGUAAUAUAUCUUUUUAAGUACAAUAAUUAAUGUUUAAACACACUUUACAUAUACUAAGAUAA
rnacentral:lncRNA from 1 species